CAGGUCACAGAAAUGCGCUUCCAUCUCUUCAAAGUAAUUGACCUACUUCCCAGCACUUUACCAAUACUGAUUCAUUUUUUUAUCAUAUUUAUUUCAUUAAAUUAUAAUUUUUUUAUCAAAAUUUAUAUGCACGUUUUAGAUGAUAAACAGACUUUUCAAGAAAUGUAUAUAACAAAAUAUGUUUUUAUGCAACAUUACUGUAAAAAACGUAAAAUCUAAAAAUAACCUAAAAUUAACGUCAAACGAAUAAUCGGACAAGCAAGCGAAUUGGCAGGAUUUCGUAGAAAAAACGAUACUUUCUUCCCAAAACUAUUUGUUGUUAAGAGGAAAUAUUGCAAGAAUUGAAAUUCAAGUGUUGUUUUGAAAGGGAAGAGUAAAGAAGCAAUGGCUACGAAAUCAAAACAAACCACAGUUGAAUUACUCAACCUGAUAAUAAAACUCCAUGUUGAGGAUAAAACUGUCUAAAGUAUCGCAUAAGUCGUACCUCAAAGUCACUGCAGUGCUCAUGAUAUUAUAAAACGGUAUCAAGAACAUUAGCGAAUUCAAAAUAAGAGCAGAAUUGGUCAGGGGAACAAUUCUUAAAUAAAUCAUAAUAAAUCCUUUUCAAUGGCAAAUGAACUGAAAAGAGGUGAGAGAAAAGAUGUUUGUGCUGACAUGGUUCGAAAUGUGCGCAGAAAAAAAAAUUCCAUAGCCGAAUAGCCUGAAGAAAACCUUACAUCAGUGAGAAGAAUAGAGUUUGCAGGUUAAGUUCUGAAAGGAAUAUUUGAAGAAGGAUAUUGACUUUUGGAAAAUGGUAUCACUGUUGAAAGCAAUGUGCAUGGCUCUUGUGCAUGGUAUGGCAGCAUUGAGUUCAGUCCCCAUAAUACCCAGACCACUAACAAGCACGGUGGAGGAUCAGUUAUAUGGAUAUGGAUGGAUAUUAUGGGAUAUGUUUCCAGUGCAGGAGUAGGGAACAUUCAUUUUAUAGAUGGAAAAAUGGAUAGGUUGCAAUAUUUGAACAUCCUGCAGUAACAUCAAUCUAAGAUGUGGCUUAUCUUCAUCUGUCCGAAAUUUAUCCAAAUACCUGCCCAAUCACCGGAUCUGAAUACUAUCGAGCAGUGUUGGGAAGAAUUGAGUCGAAAAUUGAGUAAAUUUAAUUUAAAUAAACCGGAAUAAAGGUUUUGUUUUCAUCU